rnacentral:rRNA from 1 species
AUUGAACGCUGGCGGCAGGCCUAACACAUGCAAGUCGCACGAGUGGCGGACGGGUGAGUAAUGUCUGGGAAACUGCGCGAUGGAGGGGGAUAACUACUGGAAACGGUAGAUAAUAACGCAUACCAUCGGAUGUGCCCAGAUGGGAUUAGCUAGUAGGUGGGGUACUGGCUCACCUAGGCGACGAUCCCUAGCUGGUCUGAGAGGAUGACCAGCCACACUGGAACUGAGACACGGUCCAGACUCUUACGGGAGGCAGCAGUGGGGAAUAUUGCACAAUGGGCGCAAGCCUGAUGCAGCCAUGCCGCGUGUAUGAAGAAGGCCUUCGGGUUGUAAAGUACUUUCAGCGGGGAGGCGUUACCCGCAGAAGAAGCACCGGCUAACUCCGUGCCAGCCGCCGCGGUAAUAC